rnacentral:rRNA from 1 species
UACGAAGGGGGCUAGCGUUGCUCGGAAUCACUGGGCGUAAAGGGUGCGUAGGCGGGUCCUUAAGUCAGGGGUGAAAUCCUGGAGCUCAACUCCAGAACUGCCCUUGAUACUGAGGAUCUUGAGUUCGGGAGAGGUGAGUGGAACUGCGAGUGUAGAGGUGAAAUUCGUAGAUAUUCGCAAGAACACCAGUGGCGAAGGCGGCUCACUGGCCCGAUACUGACGCUGAGGCACGAAAGCGUGGGGAGCAAACAGG